rnacentral:rRNA from 1 species
UACGAAGGGGGCUAGCGUUGCUCGGAAUUACUGGGCGUAAAGCGCACGUAGGCGGAUCUUUAAGUCAGGGGUGAAAGCCCAGAGCUCAACUCUGGAAUUGCCUUUGAGACUGAGUGGCUUGAGUACGAGAGAGGUGAGUGGAAUUCCCAGUGUAGAGGUGAAAUUCGUAGAUAUUGGGAAGAACACCGGUGGCGAAGGCGGCUCACUGGCUCGUAACUGACGCUCAUGCACGACAGCGUGGGGAUCAAACAGG